GAGUUAAUUAAAAAAUAAUAUAGGGUUGUCAACUCUAAUUUGCAUAUUAUGCACUCU
rnacentral:tRNA from 1 species